GACGAACGCUGGCGGCGUGCCUAAUACAUGCAAGUCGAGCGAAUCUUUAGGAGCUUGCUCCUGAAGGUUAGCGGCGGACGGGUGAGUAACACGUGGGCAACCUGCCUGUAAGACUGGGAUAACACCGGGAAACCGGUGCUAAUACCGGAUAAUUCUUUUCCUCACAUGAGGGAAAGCUGAAAGUCGGUUUCGGCUGACACUUACAGAUGGGCCCGCGGCGCAUUAGCUAGUUGGGGAGGUAACGGAUCACCAAGGCGACGAUGCGUAGCCGACCUGAGAGGGUGAUCGGCCACACUGGGACUGAGACACGGCCCAGACUCCUACGGGAGGCAGCAGUAGGAAAUCUUCCGCAAUGGACGAAAGUCUGACGGAGCAACGCCGCGUGAGUGAUGAAGGCCUUCGGGUCGUAAAACUCUGUUGUUAGGGAAGAACAAGUAUCGGAGUAACUGCCGGUACCUUGACGGUACCUAACCAGAAAGCCACGGCUAACUACGUGCCAGCAGCCGCGGUAACAC
rnacentral:rRNA from 1 species